rnacentral:rRNA from 1 species
UAAGUAGACCGCCUGGGGAGUACGGCCGCAAGGUUAAAACUCAAAUGAAUUGACGGGGGCCCGCACAAGCGGUGGAGCAUGUGGUUUAAUUCGAUGCAACGCGAAGAACCUUACCUGGUCUUGACAUCCACAGAACUUUCCAGAGAUGGAUUGGUGCCUUCGGGAACUGUGAGACAGGUGCUGCAUGGCUGUCGUCAGCUCGUGUUGUGAAAUGUUGGGUUAAGUCCCGCAACGAGCGCAACCCUUAUCCUUUGUUGCCAGCGGUCCGGCCGGGAACUCAAAGGAGACUGCCAGUGAUAAACUGGAGGAAGGUGGGGAUGACGUCAAGUCAUCAUGGCCCUUACGACCAGGGCUACACACGUGCUACAAUGGCGCAUACAAAGAGAAGCGACCUCGCGAGAGCAAGCGGACCUCAUAAAGUGCGUCGUAGUCCGGAUUGGAGUCUGCAACUCGACUCCAUGAAGUCGGAAUCGCUAGUAAUCGUGGAUCAGAAUGCCACGGUGAAUACGUUCCCGGGCCUUGUACACACCGCCCGUCACACCAUGGGAGUGGGUUGCAAAAGAAGUAGGUAGCUUAACCUUCGGGAGGGCGCUUACCACUUUGUGAUUCAUGACUGGGGUGAAGUCGUAACAAGGUAACCGUAGGGGAACCUGCGGUUGGA